GCUAAACCGCUGCGCCACCGGGGCUGCCCAAAUCAUGACUAUUUUGGAAAAUACCACUAAGCAGUUAAGUUGCUGUUAACUUAAUAGAGUCCCCCAAGCCCUGAAUGGUACAAAUUCAUAUUUAUCAAAAUAACUUACUUUAAAUUUAUAUUAUCUAAUUUUUAUUUGCCUAGUAUAAAGUAGAGAGCAUGUAUUUGCUGUUUUUCUCUACCUUCUAUGUCCUCCAUUUUAUACUUACACUGCCCUUUAGGUCAAGUUUUGUUGCUCCUUGGCACCUGUGAGUUUGUAGCAUUCCUUCUUAGAUUUAUGCCUUGAAUCAGAAAAGCUUUUUUAAGAAAUCUGUUUCUGCACAUUGCCCCAUAAAAUUUUCUUUGGAUGGAUUAGUAAUAUGCCAAGCUCAUAAGGAGUUUAACGGCUAUUUCGACUUGUUGAUUUACUGUAGUUUCUUUGUUGUUGUUUUUGGAGAAUUUCUGUUCUUCCAGCAGCUCCCAGAAACCUUGAAACAUCUGUGCUGAGGAGAAGAAUGAUCACAUGGAAGUGGAAAAGCACAUGGAACUGCUUUGUUGCUGCAUAUCGUGUGGCAAUAAAAGUUAUAGGUCCUGAUGUUUCAGGUGCUGGCGCUGGCUGCUUUGGGAAGUACAAAAAGAAGAAGAGAAAGUCCUGCCCUUCAAGGAACUUAGUCAAGAUGGAUAUCGAGGAUCCAUUCAUCCACAUGAAUUAAAUUGAGGCCAGAGGUUGUGGUCUCAAGGUCAGAGGAUCAAGGCUCCUGGCCGACUCCAUGCUCAGUGAAUCCAUGUGUCUAAAAGUUAUCAAACACUGUCUGCCUGGGCCAGGCCCUUAGCAACACCUUGUGGGAAAUAUGGAUCCAUCAGAGGCCUAUCCUGCCCGCAUGUACUUCCACUCUGCCUCCCACAGCACCAGAUGUCCACAUGCCCAUCCUUGGCCCCCAGCAGGACUGGAUGAAAGAGUGUGGCUGGAGCCCCAGAGUCCAUCUCUGGCUGUGGAAAACCAACUCAGAGCACUGUGCUUUGCCAGUGGAGAUGAGUAAUGUCUUUUUCAAAUGUAAAGUAUACAUAAGUUGUUAUUCCUUAUAUAUUUUAUCAAAACUUUUACCGAAGCUUGAACAAAAAAUAAUAAUCCACACUUUAAAUGAUCUUCCCAUACUACUUAAGAACUAAGAGUAGCAGCUACAGAAUCUCAUUUUAUUUGCCUCAGCAAACAUAUGCUACUCUAUAUGUGUUUUUGACUGACACAUUUACUGCCUCAGAAUAUGACAAUUUUACCAUUUCAAAUAAACUAUGGAAAUUUGCGUAAGGAUUUGAUAACAAGCUCCAGCAUGGUAAGCCUUAGGUCAUGUGGUAACUUGUCACGUCUACCCUCGUGUGGACUUGAACCUUGAAUAGGCUUAGAAGUAGCCCUUGAACAAAGAAGUCCUGCACUGGCACCAGGGUUAGGGGUAUCAAACGUCCCGUUUGUCCGGGCCUCUUAGGUUUCCCAGGAGGGAGGCCUUUCAAUGCUAAACCCUCAGGAGAGUCCUGAGCAAACUGGGACAGCUUCACCCUGUGAGACCAGGUUACAGGGCAGGGGCAAGGCUCCGAGGCUCACAGCUUAGCUGCUGUGGUCCAUAGGGAAGGCAGCUCUCUGGCCUCGGAGGUCGACACCCGGAAGGAAAGCGCUUCUCUCCUGGGUUGUCCAGGAUUGGGAGGUUAGCCUUUUGGGCCACAGAGCUGUGGGUGUGGGUAAAAUGGCCCAACAGAAGGGACAGAAAGGCCAAGUAGGAAGAGAGAGGGUGAGGGGUAUGAGCAGAGCAGUGGUUAGAGGCAGCCUGCGGAGGACUUUGGCAGGAUUGGAGAGAACAUGAAGGGGAAGGAGAUGAGCUGAACUAUUGUGUGGGCCCAGAGGAGGUGAAUGGGUGCGCACAGCUCUGAGCUGCCUCUGGCCAUUAGAAUCACUUAGGCACUUUUGAAAAAUAUAGAUAUCUGGCCUAUAUCCAAGCUAAUCGGAAUUAGAAUUUCUGGAGGUGGGCAUAGUCAUUGGCCUUUUUUCCUAAAGCUCCCAGAUGAUCCUAAUAUGCAGAUAAGAUUGAAAACGGUUGGCCUUGGGCUCCAUGC